rnacentral:misc_RNA from 1 species
GAUGAAGAACGUAGCGAAAUGCGAUACGUAAUGUGAAUUGCAGAUUUCAGUGAAUCAUCGAAUCUUUGAACGCACAUUGCGCCCGCUAGUAUUCUGGCGGGCAUGCCUGUUCGAGCGUCAUUUCAACCAUCAAGCCCCCGGCUUGUGUUGGGGACCUGCGGCUGCCGCAGGCCCUGAAAAGCAGUGGCGGGCUCGCUGUCACACCGAGCGUAGUAGCAUACAUCUCGCUCUGGGCGUGCUGCGGGUUCCGGCCGUUAAACCACCUUCAUAACCCAAGGUUGACCUCGGAUCAGGUAGGAAGACCCGCUGAACUUAAGCAUAUCAAUAAGCGGAGGA